rnacentral:rRNA from 1 species
UUCGGGUCUAGUGGCGCACGGGUGCGUAACGCGUGGGAAUCUGCCCUUAGGUACGGAAUAACUCAGAGAAAUUUGUGCUAAUACCGUAUGAUGUCGAAAGACCAAAGAUUUAUCGCCUAAGGAUGAGCCCGCGUAAGAUUAGCUUGUUGGUGAGGUAAAAGCUCACCAAGGCGACGAUCUUUAGCUGGUCUGAGAGGAUGAUCAGCCACACUGGGACUGAGACACAGCCCAGACUCCUACGGGAGGCAGCAGUGGGGAAUAUUGGACAAUGGGCGAAAGCCUGAUCCAGCAAUGCCGCGUGAGUGAUGAAGGCCUUAGGGUUGUAAAGCUCUUUUACCAGGGAUGAUAAUGACAGUACCUGGAGAAUAAGCUCCGGCUAACUCCGUGCCAGCAGCCGCGGUAAUACGGAGGGAGCUAGCGUUGUUCGGGAUUACUGGGCGUAAAGCGUACGUAGGCGGUUAUUCAAGUCAGAGGUGAAAGCCUGGAGCUCAACUCCAGAACUGCCUUUG